GGAGGGUGCAAGCGUUAAUCGGAAUUACUGGGCGUAAAGCGCGCGCAGGGCGGUCGGAUAAGUCGGGUUGUGAAAGCCCUGGGGCUUAACCUGGGAAUUGCAGUCGAUACUGCCCGACUAGAGUAUGGGAGAGGGAAGUGGAAUUUCCGGUGUAGCGGUGAAAUGCGUAGAUAUCGGAAGGAACACCAGUGGCGAAGGCGACUUCCUGGCCCAAUACUGACGCUCAGGUGCGAAAGCGUGGGGAGCAAACAGGAUUAGAUACCCUGGUAGUCCACGCCAUAAACGAUGAGAACUAGAUGUCGGGAGGGUUUUGCCUCUCGGUGUCGCAGCUAACGCGUUAAGUUCUCCGCCUGGGGAGUACGGCCGCAAGGUUG
rnacentral:rRNA from 1 species